rnacentral:rRNA from 2 species
ACGCGAAGAACCUUACCUACUCUUGACAUCCAGAGAACUUAGCAGAGAUGCUUUGGUGCCUUCGGGAACUCUGAGACAGGUGCUGCAUGGCUGUCGUCAGCUCGUGUUGUGAAAUGUUGGGUUAAGUCCCGCAACGAGCGCAACCCUUAUCCUUUGUUGCCAGCGAUUCGGUCGGGAACUCAAAGGAGACUGCCAGUGAUAAACUGGAGGAAGGUGGGGAUGACGUCAAGUCAUCAUGGCCCUUACGAGUAGGGCUACACACGUGCUACAAUGGCAUAUACAAAGAGAAGCGACCUCGCGAGAGCAAGCGGACCUCAUAAAGUAUGUCGUAGUCCGGAUUGGAGUCUGCAACUCGACUCCAUGAAGUCGGAAUCGCUAGUAAUCGUG